rnacentral:rRNA from 1 species
GACGGGGGAUGCAAGUGUUAUCCGGAAUCACUGGGCGUAAAGCGUCUGCAGGUGGUUUCCUAAGUCCACUGUUAAACCUUGAGGCUCAACCUCAAAUCUGCAUUGGAAACUAGGAGACUUGAGUAUAGUAGGGGUAGAGGGAAUUUCCAGUGGAGCGGUGAAAUGCGUAGAGAUCGGAAAGAACACCAACGGCGAAAGCACUCUGCUGGGCCGACACUGACACUGAGAGACGAAAGCUAGGGGAGCGAAUGGG